UUAAGCGACUAAGCGUACACGGUGGAUGCCCUGGCAGUCAGAGGCGAUGAAGGACGUGCUAAUCUGCGAUAAGCGUCGGUAAGGUGAUAUGAACCGUUAUAACCGGCGAUUUCCGAAUGGGGAAACCCAGUGUGAUUCGUCACACUAUCAUUAACUGAAUCCAUAGGUUAAUGAGGCGAACCGGGGGAACUGAAACAUCUAAGUACCCCGAGGAAAAGAAAUCAACCGAGAUUCCCCCAGUAGCGGCGAGCGAACGGGGAGCAGCCCAGAGCCUGAAUCAGUGUGUGUGUUAGUGGAAGCGUCUGGAAAGGCGCGCGAUACAGGGUGACAGCCCCGUACACAAAAAUGCACAUAUUGUGAGCUCGAUGAGUAGGGCGGGACACGUGGUAUCCUGUCUGAAUAUGGGGGGACCAUCCUCCAAGGCUAAAUACUCCUGACUGACCGAUAGUGAACCAGUACCGUGAGGGAAAGGCGAAAAGAACCCCGGCGAGGGGAGUGAAAAAGAACCUGAAACCGUGUACGUACAAGCAGUGGGAGCACGCUUAGGCGUGUGACUGCGUACCUUUUGUAUAAUGGGUCAGCGACUUAUAUUCUGUAGCAAGGUUAACCGAAUAGGGGAGCCGAAGGGAAACCGAGUCUUAACUGGGCGUUAAGUUGCAGGGUAUAGACCCGAAACCCGGUGAUCUAGCCAUGGGCAGGUUGAAGGUUGGGUAACACUAACUGGAGGACCGAACCGACUAAUGUUGAAAAAUUAGCGGAUGACUUGUGGCUGGGGGUGAAAGGCCAAUCAAACCGGGAGAUAGCUGGUUCUCCCCGAAAGCUAUUUAGGUAGCGCCUCGUGAAUUCAUCUCCGGGGGUAGAGCACUGUUUCGGCAAGGGGGUCAUCCCGACUUACCAACCCGAUGCAAACUGCGAAUACCGGAGAAUGUUAUCACGGGAGACACACGGCGGGUGCUAACGUCCGUCGUGAAGAGGGAAACAACCCAGACCGCCAGCUAAGGUCCCAAAGUCAUGGUUAAGUGGGAAACGAUGUGGGAAGGCCCAGACAGCCAGGAUGUUGGCUUAGAAGCAGCCAUCAUUUAAAGAAAGCGUAAUAGCUCACUGGUCGAGUCGGCCUGCGCGGAAGAUGUAACGGGGCUAAACCAUGCACCGAAGCUGCGGCAGCGACGCUUAUGCGUUGUUGGGUAGGGGAGCGUUCUGUAAGCCUGUGAAGGUGUGCUGUGAGGCAUGCUGGAGGUAUCAGAAGUGCGAAUGCUGACAUAAGUAACGAUAAAGCGGGUGAAAAGCCCGCUCGCCGGAAGACCAAGGGUUCCUGUCCAACGUUAAUCGGGGCAGGGUGAGUCGACCCCCAAGGCGAGGCCGAAAGGCGUAGUCGAUGGGAAACAGGUUAAUAUUCCUGUACUUGGUGUUACUGCGAAGGGGGGACGGAGAAGGCUAUGUUGGCCGGGCGACGGUUGUCCCGGUUUAAGCGUGUAGGCUGGUUUUCCAGGCAAAUCCGGAAAAUCAAGGCUGAGGCGUGAUGACGAGGCACUACGGUGCUGAAGCAACAAAUGCCCUGCUUCCAGGAAAAGCCUCUAAGCAUCAGGUAACAUCAAAUCGUACCCCAAACCGACACAGGUGGUCAGGUAGAGAAUACCAAGGCGCUUGAGAGAACUCGGGUGAAGGAACUAGGCAAAAUGGUGCCGUAACUUCGGGAGAAGGCACGCUGAUAUGUAGGUGAAGCGACUUGCUCGUGGAGCUGAAAUCAGUCGAAGAUACCAGCUGGCUGCAACUGUUUAUUAAAAACACAGCACUGUGCAAACACGAAAGUGGACGUAUACGGUGUGACGCCUGCCCGGUGCCGGAAGGUUAAUUGAUGGGGUCAGCGCAAGCGAAGCUCUUGAUCGAAGCCCCGGUAAACGGCGGCCGUAACUAUAACGGUCCUAAGGUAGCGAAAUUCCUUGUCGGGUAAGUUCCGACCUGCACGAAUGGCGUAAUGAUGGCCAGGCUGUCUCCACCCGAGACUCAGUGAAAUUGAACUCGCUGUGAAGAUGCAGUGUACCCGCGGCAAGACGGAAAGACCCCGUGAACCUUUACUAUAGCUUGACACUGAACAUUGAGCCUUGAUGUGUAGGAUAGGUGGGAGGCUUUGAAGUGUGGACGCCAGUCUGCAUGGAGCCGACCUUGAAAUACCACCCUUUAAUGUUUGAUGUUCUAACGUUGACCCGUAAUCCGGGUUGCGGACAGUGUCUGGUGGGUAGUUUGACUGGGGCGGUCUCCUCCUAAAGAGUAACGGAGGAGCACGAAGGUUGGCUAAUCCUGGUCGGACAUCAGGAGGUUAGUGCAAUGGCAUAAGCCAGCUUGACUGCGAGCGUGACGGCGCGAGCAGGUGCGAAAGCAGGUCAUAGUGAUCCGGUGGUUCUGAAUGGAAGGGCCAUCGCUCAACGGAUAAAAGGUACUCCGGGGAUAACAGGCUGAUACCGCCCAAGAGUUCAUAUCGACGGCGGUGUUUGGCACCUCGAUGUCGGCUCAUCACAUCCUGGGGCUGAAGUAGGUCCCAAGGGUAUGGCUGUUCGCCAUUUAAAGUGGUACGCGAGCUGGGUUUAGAACGUCGUGAGACAGUUCGGUCCCUAUCUGCCGUGGGCGCUGGAGAACUGAGGGGGGCUGCUCCUAGUACGAGAGGACCGGAGUGGACGCAUCACUGGUGUUCGGGUUGUCAUGCCAAUGGCACUGCCCGGUAGCUAAAUGCGGAAGAGAUAAGUGCUGAAAGCAUCUAAGCACGAAACUUGCCCCGAGAUGAGUUCUCCCUGACUCCUUGAGAGUCCUGAAGGAACGUUGAAGACGACGACGUUGAUAGGCCGGGUGUGUAAGCGCAGCGAUGCGUUGAGCUAACCGGUACUAAUGAACCGUGAGGCUUAACCUU
rnacentral:rRNA from 1 species